ACGCACUUGUACAUUCAUCAUCUCAUUUUCUCCUUACGAAAGCCCUCCUAUUCUAGAGCUGGAGACACUGAGGCCUGGAGGAGUUCGGUGGCACAGUCUCCGGGGCACCUGCAGGGACAGAGAUGCCUUGACCUCACUCACUCCUCUCUAGCCCUACGGGCCUCCCCGCUGUUCUAGCACAGUCCUGCCUUCAGGCCUUUGCACUGGCUGUCGCCUCUUUGAACCACUAUCAGUGACGAAGCAAUUAAGACCCAAGUUUUUGCCACCUGUGUCAGACCCAGAAUGUGAACCUAAGGUAGGACGACAAAUAAAUUCUGCCGUUAACUGCUCGAAUUCUCAUUCUGAUUCACAGCGGCCAGGGCCCCAUUCCCAAUCGCUUGUGCACAGAGCUAGCUUUUCCUGCCUGGGACCUGGCAGGCCACAUCUCACAACCUGAGAGCCCGAGGGCCCCUGGCCAGAAAGGCUAAUGGCGUGGAAGAGCUGUGGAAUCAGGGCUGGGGACGGUCCCCUCUUCCAAAGCCCUCCAGUGACGAAAGAGGAAGCAAAGGAGGAGAAAGCAGAAGUGAAUCCAGGGCCUGCCUCAUUUCUCACACCCAAACAGGUACUACCCCGCGUGUGAGCAGGUUGCGAACAAAACAGGAAUCUGGUGCAGUCAUUGAACGCAGGGCGCCCUGUGGGGAGCAGACCGUCCCCCUGCACCCCCCCCAAGCACCCCUCAGUAAGCCCCUCUCUGGGCCACUCCCAGCUGCCAUCAAGGGGGCUGACAGGUGCUCCCUUGUGGACCUGAGGGUUCCGCACCGAGAACUCACGGCGCAGAUGUCCCUGCAGCUGUGUGCGCGCAUGGGACAUCCCAUAGGACCUCGCGGGUGACAGCCCAGGGCGCAGACAAUGCAGAUGGCUACUGAGAAGGAGCUGGACAGAUACAUCAUGAAAAGUCACUGCAGACGUUCUUCUGCGGCCAUUAAAGAAGGGAAAAUACGGUCCCAGCCCCGUAUGUCCAGGAAGAAGCAAAUGUGCCCACCUCAGUCUCCAAGAAAGAGGUGGGGCUGUCUGAAACGCCAACAAGUGUGAAAAAGACCAAAUUCCGGUCCGGAGGGGUGCUGCCUCCCCAGGAGGAAUUCAACAGCCUCCCUGGGUUUUUCCACUCAUCCUUUUCAUCCCUUCCAGAAAGCCCCAGGAUCCUCCAAAAAGGAAACCCGCCUUAAGAUGCCAGGCUUCAUUUUCGAAAAUGGAAUGGGCACCCCAGGGGCUGCAGCUGUCAGCUGGGGACCCAGACUGGGACUCCCCCCAACUUCUCCUCCCCAAAGGCCAUUGUGUUUUCUGCUUAGUAUUAAAUCAUCGGUAUUUUCCAUGAGGAUAAAGACCCCUCCUGACUCCUUUUUUUAUAAUGCCGACUUACGAAUCCACCAAGGGUUACAAAACGUGGGGCG